rnacentral:rRNA from 1 species
AUGAGGCUCCGAUCCGCGCCGCCGGCGCCGCCGCGGCUGCUGCUGGUGCUGGCCGUGCUCCUGUACGGCUUCUGCUGCUGCUGCGAGGGGAGGUUCGUCGUGGAGAAGAACAGCCUCAAGGUCACGGCGCCGGACUCUCUUAAAGGCAGCUACGAGUGCGCCAUUGGCAACUUCGGCGUGCCGCAGUACGGGGGCACCAUGGUCGGCGUCGUCGCCUACCCUAAGUCCAACCGGAAGGCCUGCAAGAGCUUUGACGACUUCGACAUCUCCUACAAGGCCAAGCCCGGGUCCUUGCCCACCUUCUUGCUAGUCGACCGGGGAGAUUGCUUCUUCACAAAGAAGGCAUGGAAUGCUCAGAACGCAGGAGUGGCGGCUAUUCUUGUUGCUGAUGACAAGGAUGAGCCUCUAAUUACAAUGGAUACACCUGAAGAGAGUGGAAGGGCUGAUUAUUUAGAGAACAUCACCAUACCAUCAGCGCUGAUAACAAAAAGCUUCGGGGACAGACUCAGGAAAGCAGUCGAUGGCGGUCACAUGGUUAAUGUGAAUUUAGAUUGGAGGGAGUCCCUGCCUCACCCUGAUGAGCGUGUUGAAUACGAGUUCUGGACCAACAGUAACGAUGAAUGUGGUCCCAAAUGUGACAGCCAGAUUGAUUUCGUUAAGAGCUUUAAAGGACCAGCACAGAUACUUGAGAAAAAGGGAUACACACAGUUCACUCCUCAUUACAUUACCUGGUAUUGCCCGGAGGCCUUCACACUAAGCAAGCAGUGCAAGUCCCAGUGUAUCAACCAUGGAAGGUACUGUGCACCUGACCCGGAACAGGAUUUCAGCAAAGGGUAUGAUGGGAAAGACGUGGUGGUUCAAAAUUUGCGGCAAGUCUGUGUUUAUAAAGUUGCGAAGGAGAAUAAGAAGCCUUGGUUAUGGUGGGACUAUGUGACCGAUUUUGCAAUCCGCUGCCCAAUGAAGGAAAAGAAGUAUACCAAGGAAUGUGCUGAUGGAGUUAUCAAGUCACUUGGACUUGAUCACAAAGCAAUAGAUAAGUGUAUUGGUGAUCCAAAUGCUGAUGAAGAAAAUCCUGUGCUGAAAGCUGAACAGGAUGCUCAGAUUGGCAAAGGCGCUCGUGGCGAUGUCACUAUAUUACCAACACUGGUCAUCAAUAAUAGACAAUACAGAGGGAAACUUGACAAAGGGGCAGUUCUUAAAGCACUUUGUGCAGGUUUCCAAGAAACUACUGAGCCUGCCGUUUGCUUGAGUGAAGAUAUACAAACCAACGAGUGCUUGGAGAACAAUGGUGGCUGUUGGCACGAUAAGGCUGCUAACAUAUCUGCAUGCAAGGAUACUUUCCGUGGUAGAGUUUGCGAAUGCCCGGUUGUGAAAGGGGUAAAAUUUGUUGGUGAUGGCUACACUCACUGUGAAGCUUCAGGAUCUGGUCGCUGUGAGAUUAACAAUGGUGGAUGUUGGAAAGAGACCAGGAAUGGCCGGACACACUCUGCCUGCACUGAUGGUGGCUGUAAAUGUCCAGAUGGGUUCAAAGGUGAUGGUGUUCACAAAUGUGAAGAUGUUGAUGAAUGCAAGGAAAGGACUGCAUGCCAGUGCAAGGAAUGUAAAUGCAAGAACACAUGGGGAAGCUACGAGUGCGGGUGUGGUGGUGGCUUGCUGUACAUGAAGGAGCAUGAUACGUGCAUAAGCAAAGAUGCAGGAGCACGGGUAGGCUGGAAUUUCCUAUGGUUUCUAUUGUUUGGCCUAGCGGCAGUAGGAAUCGCAGGAUACGCGGUGUACAAGUACAGGAUCCGGAGCUACAUGGAUUCAGAGAUCCGCGCUAUCAUGGCACAGUACAUGCCCCUGGACAACCAAGGAGAGAUCCCCAACCAUUCUCACCAUAUUGAGAUGUGA